GAGAUGUUGGGUUAAGUCCCGCAACGAGCGCAACCCUUUUCCUUACUUGCCAGCAUUUCGGAUGGGAACUUUAAGGAUACUGCCAGUGACAAACUGGAGGAAGGCGGGGACGACGUCAAGUCAUCAUGGCCCUUACGGCCAGGGCUACACACGUGCUACAAUGGUCGGUACAAAGGGUUGCUACACAGCGAUGUGAUGCUAAUCUCAAAAAGCCGAUCGUAGUCCGGAUUGGAGUCUGCAACUCGACUCCAUGAAGUCGGAAUCGCUAGUAAUCGCGGAUCAGAAUGCCGCGGUGAAUACGUUCCCGGGCCUUGUACACACCGCCCGUCACACCAUGGGAGUUUGUUGCACCAGAAGUAGCUAGCCUAACUGCAAAGAGGGCGGUUACCACGGUGUGGCCGAUGACUGGGGUG
rnacentral:rRNA from 1 species